rnacentral:rRNA from 1 species
CCUACGGGGGGCUGCAGUCGAGAAUAUUCCACAAUGGACGAAAGUCUGAUGGAGCGACGCCGCGUGCGGGAAGACGGCCCUUGGGUUGUAAACCGCUUUUCUCAUGGAGCAAUUCGUGAGAGUACAUGAGGAAUAAGAGGUUACUAACUCUGUGCCAGCAGUAGCGGUAAUACAGAGACCUCGAGCGUUAUCCGGAUUUAUUGGGCGUAAAGCGCGUGUAGGCGGACCUGUUAGUCGGGUGUCAAAUCUCCGGGCCCAACCCGGAAACUGCAUCUGAAACGGCAGGUCUAGAGAGAGCGAGGGACCAGUGGAACGUAUGGUGUAGCAGUGAAAUGCGUUGAUAUCAUACGGAACACCGAAGGCGAAGGCAGCUGGUUGGCGCUCUUCUGACGCUGAGACGCGAAAGCGUGGGUAGCGAAUGGGCUUAGAUACCCGAGUAGUC